CGAGAGGACCGGAGUGGACGCAUCACUGGUGUUCGGGUUGUCAUGCCAAUGGCACUGCCCGGUAGCUAAAUGCGGAAGAGAUAAGUGCUGAAAGCAUCUAAGCACGAAACUUGCCCCGAGAUGAGUUCUCCCUGAGACUUUAAGUCUCCUGAAGGAACGUUGAAGACGACGACGUUGAUAGGCCGGGUGUGUAAGCGCAGCGAUGCGUUGAGCUAACCGGUACUAAUGAACCGUGAGGCUUAACCUU
rnacentral:rRNA from 1 species